rnacentral:lncRNA from 1 species
AUCAGAAUGGAAUUACGGCGUACCAAACGUCUAGAAUCGAAAUGGAUCAUUCCGAUUCUGAUUCCGGGGUUAAUAUUUAGCGAUCCAAACACGCCCUUAGAGUAAUACUUCUAUAUAUAUAUUUUUUUGGUUACCGUUCAUUCACGCCUAUUCAACGGCUCAGAUUUAGUUUUUUUAAAAUUGUGACCUGCAAUAGCAGGUCACUUUGGGAGAGGUACCGGUUACCAGGUACCUCAAAAAAGAAUAUUUUUAUCUUUUAAUACAUGGGCAAUUUAGUCAUUUUACAUCUACUAUAUUUUCAAAAUUUUUAUUUUUUCUUUGUUUCCUUUUUCUCUCUCUAUCUUUCCUUUCAUAAUUUGGUAUUUCAUAUAAGGAAAGUUUCAAAUGAUUUGACAAUAUGAUCAUUGAAUUUAAAUUUUAAAUAGUAAUAUGAAAUUCCUCUAAUUUAAAUUUUACUUUUAAAUUUAAAAUUUAAUAUUAUAUUCAAAUUUAUAUUUUAAAAAUUUAAGUUUCAUAUAAAUACUUUGAAAUAUGGUAAACA